ACAAGUGGAUAGACAAUCAAGGAUCUUCAAGAUAUUUCUCAAAAGCCACUGCUUUCAACACAGGGCCACAAAACAUCAAAGGAAUCACCUGGGAUAAAUCUCAGGUGAUUCUUUGGACAUGCAUACAUACACACGUACACAAACAUAUAAAACUGCCCUCUUUCUGGGAGAGAUUUAUUAAUAUCCUGAGUGAGAUAAGAAUGUUUGUAAACCUUGAAGGGUUUCACUGCUGAAAUUCCAUGGGCUCUCUCCAACCAAGUUAUACUCAGAAGUAGACCUACUGAAAUGUAUGUACCUAAAUUAGCCAUGUCCAUGCAUUUCACUGGGUCAACUUUGAAUCUGAAGUGGUUGGAUACAACCCCAUGUUCUCAAUACUUGUGCAGAAACAACAAUAACCUCUGGUGCCUGCUGCUGUCGCAGCAGCAGCAGUAGCAGCUGGGUAGACCUACAAGCCUCCUCUUGUCACAUACCCCUCCCUCCAGCAGCCAUUUCAAUUCAAGUGAUUCUCUGUUUCAGACAAGAACAUGUAUUCUAGCCACAAAAACUGCUCUAGUAGGCAAAUAACGUCUUCUUAAGCCACGGCACAUGUGAAAGUUACAGUUAUCAGGUGAGGAGGAUAGCACACCAGGCUGCUAUAGAAUACCUGAGAUGAAAACCAAGAGACUCAACAUGACAUCCACCCAUUAGUAAAGACAUCAGGAGAACUCCACAAGUUGCAUUGUUUUGUAAUAAGAUUUGGAAUAGAUAGCCAUUGUAAGUUUAUGACUGCAUGAAAACUUGGCCUGAUAAGAACAUAAGAGCCCAAGGGCCCAUCUAGCAUCCUUUUCUCACAGUGGCCAACCAGGUGCCUAUGGAAGCCUGCAGGCUGAAUCUGAGUGCGACAUCAUCCUGUCUACCUGAUAUUCCCAGCAACCAGCAUUCAGAAGCAUACUGAGUGGCAGUGGAGCUAGAACGUAGCCAUUGUGGCUGGUAGUCAUUGAUCGCCUAAUAUCGUCCAUGAAUUUGUCUAACCCUCUUUUAAAACCAUCCAAUCUGGUGGCCAUCAAAACAUCAUGUGGGAGUGAGUUCCAUAGUUCAACUAUGAUAUGGACAUGAGAAACCUUUCCUAUUUGCUCAGGCUCUUUGAAAAUGUAGAUAUUUUAUCCUGCUCUUAGUUUGCUGGCUGUUUAUUUUGCCUUGUUAUAUUUUGUUAUGUUUCUUUCUUCUGAGAGUUGUAUACUGCCCUAGGAUCUUUUGUUGAAGGUGCUUCAGAGGUAUUCUAAACAGAAAUUAGAAAAACUGAUGAGUACAGUUUUAUGCCUCAGUUUAAUCUUUGAGCUGAAUGCAUUUGCAAAGAUAUAUUUUAAAUUAAAAUGGAAUUUUGUCCCUGAAAA